UACGAACGCUGGCGGCGCGCUUAACACAUGCAAGUCGAGCGGUAAGGCCCCUCCGGGUGUACACGAGCGGAACACGGGAGUGUAACACGGGAGUAAUCUGCCCUUCACUUCGGGAUACCCACCGGAAACGGUGGAAUAUACCGAAUACGACCAGUCUUCGCAUGAGGUGCUGGUAGACAGUCUUUUCGGUGGAGGAGGUGCCGGCGGCCUAUCAGCUUGUUGGUGGGGUGAGGGACUACCUAGGCUUCGACGGGGAGCCGGCCUGGGAGGGGGACCGGCGAGACUGGGAACGAGACACGGCCCAGACGGCUACGAGAGGCAGGAGAGGGAAAUGUGGGACAAUGUGCGAAAGGCUGAUCCGGCAACGGCGCGGGAGGGAUGACGGCCGUCAGGUUGUAAACCUCGUUCAGUACCGACGAAGCGCCCGGUCGGGUGGUGACGGUAGGUACAGAAGAAGGACCGGCCAACUACGUG
rnacentral:rRNA from 1 species